UACGUAGGGUGCAAGCGUUAAUCGGAAUUACUGGGCGUAAAGCGUGCGCAGGCGGUUAUGCAAGACAGAUGUGAAAUCCCCGGGCUCAACCUGGGAACUGCAUUCGUGACUGCAUGGCUAGAGUACGGUAGAGGGGGAUGGAAUUCCGCGUGUAGCAGUGAAAUGCGUAGAUAUGCGGAGGAACACCGAUGGCGAAGGCAAUCCCCUGGACCUGUACUGACGCUCAUGCACGAAAGCGUGGGGAGCAAACAGG
rnacentral:rRNA from 1 species